rnacentral:rRNA from 1 species
CACGUAGGGUGCGAGCGUUGUCCGGAAUUAUUGGGCGUAAAGAGCUCGUAGGCGGUGUGUCGCGUCGGCCGUGAAAACCUGCAGCUUAACUGUGGGCUUGCGGUCGAUACGGGCAUCACUGGAGUUCGGCAGGGGAGACUGGAAUUCCCGGUGUAGCGGUGAAAUGUGUAGAGAUCGGGAGGAACACCGGUGGCGAAGGCGGGUCUCUGGGCAUCUCCUGACGCUGAGGCGCGAAAGCGUGGGGAGCAAACGGG